rnacentral:rRNA from 1 species
GUGGGGAAUAUUGGACAAUGGGCGCAAGCCUGAUCCAGCCAUGCCGCGUGCAGGAAGACGCAUCUAUGGUGUGUAAACUGCUUUUGUACGGGAAGAAACACUCCCUCGUGAGGGAGCUUGACGGUACCGUAAGAAUAAGGAUCGGCUAACUCCGUGCCAGCAGCCGCGGUAAUACGGAGGAUCCAAGCGUUAUCCGGAAUCAUUGGGUUUAAAGGGUCCGUAGGCGGUUGAAUAAGUCAGUGGUGAAAGCCCAUCGCUCAACGAUGGAACGGCCAUUGAUACUGUUAGACUUGAAUUACAAGGAAGUAACUAGAAUAUGUAGUGUAGCGGUGAAAUGCUUAGAUAUUACAUGGAAUACCAAUUGCGAAGGCAGGUUACUACUUGUGGAUUGACGCUGAUGGACGAAAGCGUGGGGAGCGAACAGGAUUAGAAACCCUGGUAGUCC